rnacentral:rRNA from 1 species
GACGAACGCUGGCGGCGUGCCUAACACAUGCAAGUUGAGCGACCAACCAGGGCUUGCCCUGGGGCAAAGCAGCGAACGGGUGAGUAACACUUGGGUAACCUACCCCGAUAACCGGGACAACCCGAUGAAACUCGGGCUAAUACCGGAUGUGCUCACUGGACUUCGGUUCAGUGCGUAAAGGAAGCUUCGGCCUCCGUAUCGGGAGGGGCCCGCGGCCCAUUAGUUUGUUGGUGAGGUAACGGCUCACCAAGACCGCGAUGGGUAGCAUGUCUGAUAGGACGAUCAGCCACACUGGGACUGAGACACGGCCCAGACUCCUACGGGAGGCAGCAGUGGGGAAUCUUGCGCAAUGCGCGAAAGCGUGCCGCAGCAACGCCGCGUGGGGGAAGAAGGCCUUCGGGUUGUAAACCCCUUUCAGGAGGGACGAAGGUUCGGCGGUGAAUAGCCGUCCGGACUGACGGUACCUCCACAAGAAGCCCCGGCUAACUACGUG